UACGUAGGGGGCAAGCGUUGUCCGGAUUUAUUGGGCGUAAAGAGCGUGUAGGCGGUUAGGUAGGUCCGUUGUGAAAACUCGAGGCUCAACCUCGAGACGCCGAUGGAAACCAUCUAACUAGAGUCCGGAAGAGGAGAGUGGAAUUCCUGGUGUAGCGGUGAAAUGCGCAGAUAUCAGGAAGAACACCCGUGGCUAAGGCGGCUCUCUGGAACGCAACUGACGCUGAGACGCGAAAGCGUGGGGAGCAAACAGG
rnacentral:rRNA from 1 species